rnacentral:tRNA from 1 species
UUAUAGGUGAAUUAUCAUCAUUUAUAAAUCCUAAAUUUACUACACUUUUCUGUCAACCUAUAAU